AAGUCGUAACAAGGUUUCCGUAGGUGAACCUGCGGAAGGAUCAUUACCAAAGAACAACUGGUUGGGUUGUUGCUGGCCCCCUCUCCCUGGAAGGGGCACUGUGCACGCCUUGCCAAUUCACUUUGCUCACCUGUGCACCUCCUUGUAGGCCAGGAUCACCAGAGAGGAAGAAGGGGGGGGGGAAACGUGUCUCCUGUCGGAGUGCUCAACUUCUUUUCUUUUGCUUGGUGGAGGGAUCUGCUGUUGUGUCCUCACACGGAAAUGGGUAUCUGUGAGAGAACAGAUAUAGACGGCUUUUUCCUUGCUCACGUCUGGCCUAUGCCUUUAUUAAACCUGUAACAUCUGUAUCUGUAUGUGUAUUUGAACAUGUGGGAUAACCACGAUUGUUUUUGAACACCAAUACAACUUUCAACAACGGAUCUCUUGGCUCUC
rnacentral:misc_RNA from 1 species